ACCAUCCUUCUCUUGGGGUUGAGCUACUGAGCAAUGAAUGUCUAAUGAGGUCAGUACUGCUAACACCACAAACAACACAAAAGCAUCACUAGUGUGCAAACACUAGCAAGGUGCAAUUUUUGGAAUC